ACUUGUAACUAUUUUGCAUUUGAUUUGAAAUCAAAUUGAUUGUUUUUGUUAACAAUACAAGUU
rnacentral:tRNA from 1 species